rnacentral:rRNA from 1 species
CAGCAGCCGCGGUAAUACAGAGGGUGCGAGCGUUAAUCGGAUUUACUGGGCGUAAAGCGUGCGUAGGCGGCUUCUUAAGUCGGAUGUGAAAUCCCUGAGCUUAACUUAGGAAUUGCAUUCGAUACUGGGAAGCUAGAGUAUGGGAGAGGAUGGUAGAAUUCCAGGUGUAGCGGUGAAAUGCGUAGAGAUCUGGAGGAAUACCGAUGGCGAAGGCAGCCAUCUGUCCUAAUACUGACGCUGAGGUACGAAAGCAUGGGGAGCAAACAGGAUUAGAGACCCCGGUAGUCCCUGUCUCUUAUAC